GACGUAGGGGGCCAGCGUUGCUCGGAAUUACUGGGCGUAAAGGGUUCGUAGGCGGUGUGGCAAGUCGGGUGUGAAAUCUCUGGGCUCAACCCAGAGUCUGCUUCCGAAACUGCUGUGCUUGAGUGUGGGAGAGGCGCGUGGAAUUGCAGGUGUAGCGGUGAAAUGCGUAGAUAUCUGCAGGAACACCCAUGGCGAAAGCGGCUACCUGGAGCAGCAUUGACGCUCAAGCACGAAAGCGUGGGGAGCAAACAGG
rnacentral:rRNA from 1 species